GGCGAACCUAUGCCGGUGUGAUCAACCUGCGAGGAAGAUCACGCUUGAGUUCUAGAGCUAGAAGUCAGGUAGGAUCCCGAUGGUGAUCUUAUGAUGUACAAUCAUUCAUGGUGAAGUAAUAGAUGUGUUCAUGUUCUUAGCGAUCUAAGUAUCUCCUUUGAUGGUUUUAUACUUUAUCGGGUUUGCUUGCUUUUCAAUCUAUGAAUCGAUGAUAGAUUUCCUAGGGUGUUCUUGUGGUCGUGGUGACCAGAUUUGCAUGCCUGAUCUACCGAUGAGUAUGACAUAUUCUUAUGAUCAUGCCCUUAACCUGCUUGCGCUAAUAUAGGCGAUCGUGAUAGGAUCUUUCUUGUGUAAGGUGUAGAUUUAAAGAUGCUUUUUACUAAGAUCAUAUCUAUAUUGCUUUGCUAUCCAUGCUCAGAAUUACAACAUAUGCAUAGUCUAGGUUGCUCUAUCUAGAUUGGUUACCUUUGCUCUAUCUGUUAUCUGUCUAUACAUGCUUAGUAGAUUGGAUCUGAAUCUCUCAUAAACACCAAGUUAAUACUAACAAUGCUAGUUGAAAUAGAUCUUGUGUUAUAAGUUCCACGGAUUGAUAAACCUUGGGGGAAUACUCUGAGGGAAGAGCUACAAUUGAUCCGUACGCUUGCGGUUCACAAAUUGGCUUGCUAACAGUCGCCAACACUUCCCCAGGCCUGCACCCUGCCCACCAGCACCCCCGAACGAGCUCCUUGGUCUCCUGAGGAAGAAGAAGAUACGGAAUGAGAAGAUGACAUGUGGGGCCAUGAUGAGGGUAACAAUGGAAAUUCAUCCUAAAAAUCCUCCUUUUUGGAGAAAGGGGUCCCCUUUUAGCCAAAGAACUCAUUUACACAGCUCCAACUCCACUCAGAGCUCGCUCUAGCUGGAGUUUGGAGAUGGAGCGAAAAAUUGUGGCUAUGGAAC
rnacentral:lncRNA from 1 species